UGGGCCCUAAACCAAUUGCAAGUCGAGGGGUAGGAAGAGCUUGCUUUUCUGAGACCGGCGCACGGGUGAGUAACGCGUAUGCAAUCUACCUUAUACAGGGGAAUAGCCCAGAGAAAUUUGGAUUAAUGCCCCAUGGUUUAUUGAGAUGGCAUCAUUUUAAUAAUAAAGAUUUAUCGGUAUAAGAUGAGCAUGCGUAUCAUUAGCUAGUUGGUGUGGUAACGGCAUACCAAGGCGACGAUGAUUAGGGGUCCUGAGAGGGAGAUCCCCCACACUGGUACUGAGACACGGACCAGACUCCUACGGGAGGCAGCAGUGAGGAAUAUUGGUCAAUGGAGGCAACUCUGAACCAGCCAUGCCGCGUGCAGGAUGACGGUCCUAUGGAUUGUAAACUGCUUUUGUACAGGAAGAAACAUUGCUACGUGUAGCAACUUGACGGUACUGUAAGAAUAAGGAUCGGCUAACUCCGUGCCAGCAGCCGCGGUAAUAA
rnacentral:rRNA from 1 species